GGCCGUGUGGCCUAAUGGCUAAGGCGUUGGUUUUCGGUUAACGAAAUUCACCAAAGAUUGUGCGUUCGAGUCGCAUCAUGGUCG